GACAGAGGGGGCAAGCGUUGCUCGGAAUUACUGGGCGUAAAGGGCGCGUAGGCGGGAUGGCAAGUCGGUCGUGAAAUCCCUCGGCUCAACUGAGGAGCGUCGAUCGAAACUGCCGUUCUUGAGGGUUGCAGAGGAGACUGGAAUUCCCGGUGUAGCGGUGAAAUGCGCAGAUAUCGGGAAGAACACCCGUGGCGAAGGCGGCUCUCUGGAACGCAACUGACGCUGAGACGCGAAAGCGUGGGGAGCAAACAGG
rnacentral:rRNA from 1 species